UACAGAGGUGCCAAGCGUUAGGCGGAAUCACUGGGCUUAAAGCGCGUGUAGGUGGGUCGUUAAGUGUCCGCGUGAAAUCCCACGGCUCAACCGUGGAACUGCCGGGCAUACUGGCGAUCUUGAGGCAUUCAGGGGCGAGCGGAACAAUGGUGGAGCGGUGAAAUGCGUAGAUAUCGGAAGGAACGCCGGUGGCGAAAGCGGCGUGCUGGGCACCUCCUGACGCUGAGGCGCGAAAGCCAGGGGAGCGAACGGG
rnacentral:rRNA from 1 species